rnacentral:tRNA from 1 species
GCGCCCGUAGCUCAGCUGGAUAGAGCGCCGCCCUCCGGAGGCGGAGGCCGUAGGUUCGAAUCCUACCGGGCGCG